UCUCAGUUCGGAUUGCAGGCUGCAACUCGCCUGCAUGAAGUCGGAAUUGCUAGUAAUCGCAGAUCAGCAUGCUGCGGUGAAUACGUUCCCGGGCCUUGUACACACCGCCCGUCACACCAUGGGAGUCGGUAACACCCGAAGUCGGUAGCCUAACCGUAAGGAGGGCGCCGCCGAAGGUGGGAUUGAUGACUGGGGUGAAGUCGUAACAAGGUACC
rnacentral:rRNA from 1 species